rnacentral:tRNA from 1 species
GAGGGUAUAGCUCAGUGGUAGAGUACAUGCCUAGCAUGCAGGAGGUCCUGGGUUCAAUCCCCAGUACUUCCA